GGAUGUGAAGGCAAUCUGGCUGCGACAUCUGUCACCCCAUUGAUCAUCAGGGUUGAUUUGGCUGCUCUGGCUGGCUAGGUGGGUGUCCCCUUCCUCCCUCACAGCUCCAUGUGCAUCCCUCCCAAAGCUGCGUGCUCAGUCAAUGAGGAUGACCAUCCCUAGUAGGGGGACACCAGUCUUUGGUCAAGAGUAUACAAGUAGCUGCGCUCCCCUGCUAGGACUUCCAAACAAACUCUCAAAGCACACCAUAAAAAAGUGAAAAAGCAAUCCAUGAAAUGGGAGAAAAAAGUUGCAAAUCAUAUAUCUGAUAAGGGACUUGUAUCU
rnacentral:snRNA from 1 species